rnacentral:tRNA from 2 species
GACUGGAUAGCCUAGUGAUAAAGGCAUCACAUCAACAAUGUGAGGUCCCUGGUUCAGAUCCAGUUCUAGUCA